rnacentral:rRNA from 1 species
GGAUCAGUGGCGGAACGGGUGAGUAACACGUGAGUAACCUGCCCCUGACUCUGGGAUAACCUCGGGAAACCGAAGCUAAUACCGGAUACGACCCGCGAAGGCAUCUUCUGCGGGUGGAAAGAAUUUCGGUUGGGGAUGGACUCGCGGCCUAUCAGCUAGUUGGUGAGGUAACGGCCCACCAAGGCGACGACGGGUAGCCGGCCUGAGAGGGUGACCGGCCACACUGGGACUGAGACACGGCCCAGACUCCUACGGGAGGCAGCAGUGGGGAAUAUUGCACAAUGGGCGCAAGCCUGAUGCAGCAACGCCGCGUGAGGGAUGACGGCCUUCGGGUUGUAAACCUCUUUUAGUAGGGAAGAAGCGAAAGUGACGGUACCUGCAGAAAAAGCACCGGCUAACUACGUGCCAGCAGCCGCGGUAAUACGUAGGGUGCAAGCGUUGUCCGGAAUUAUUGGGCGUAAAGAGCUCGUAGGCGGUUUGUCGCGUCUGCUGUGAAAACGCGAGGCUCAACCUCGCGCCUGCAGUGGGUACGGGCAGACUAGAGUGCGGUAGGGGAGAUUGGAAUUCCUGGUGUAGCGGUGGAAUGCGCAGAUAUCAGGAGGAAC